rfam:Ixodes scapularis strain Wikel colony gcontig_1108379662030, whole genome shotgun sequence.
GCAGUCGUGGCCAAGUUGUUAAGGCGAUGGUCUAGAAAUCCAUUGGGGUCUCCCCGCACAGGUUCGAAUCCUGUCGACUGCG